CGUCAGACACUCUCCACAAAGUGAUUCCCACUGAUUCUGGCAGCGAUCUUGAAAAAGAAAAAAUAGUGUUCAUUUGAACCGUUAUGGUGGGGUAUCUUUCUGAUGGAUUAAUUUAGUGAGGUUCGCCUAUUUCGUGAGUUGGUGGACUUUUGCUGCUGCCUGGUAAUUUAUUUGUGACGUGUGAGGAGGACGUAAAAGCUUUUGAGGACUUGGAUAUUUGCUGUUGGUUUCUACUGUUGGGC